rnacentral:rRNA from 1 species
AGCAGCCGCGGUAAUUCCAGCUCCAAUAGCGUAUAUUAAAGUUGUUGCAGUUAAAAAGCUCGUAGUUGAGUUUCGGGAUUAAUAUGUUGGUCGUGCCUUGGUACGUACUGGCAUUAUUGAUUCCUACCUUCUGAAGAACCUCGAUGUCAUUAAUUUGGUGUCUUGGGGAAUCAGGACCGUUACUUUGAAAAAAAUUAGAGUGUUUAAAGCAGGCUCGCGCUUGAAUACAUUAGCAUGGAAUAAUGAAAUAGGACGUUUGAUUCUAUUUUGUUGGUUUCUAGGAUCGACGUAAUGAUUAAUAGGGAUAGUUGGGGGCAUUAGUAUUCAAUUGUCAGAGGUGAAAUUCUUGGAUUUAUUGAAGACUGACUACUGCGAAAGCAUUUGCCAAGGAUGUUUUCAUUAAUCAAGAACGAAAGUUAGGGGAUCGAAGACGAUCAGAUACCGUCGUAGUCUUAACCAUAAACUAUGCCGACUAGGGAUCGGAUGAUGUUAAUUUUUUAAUGACUCAUUCGGCGCCUUA